rnacentral:misc_RNA from 1 species
AUAAUAUACAACGAAAGCACCAAAUUUGCAUCUAAAACAUUAAAAUACAUAUUUGUUUAAUCACCCAGAAAAUAAUAAAAAUUAAAAAUUUACAAACCGUUAAUUAAUUAUUUAUUUAAUUUGCAGUAGAGCCUCCUUAAGCCGCUGGCAAUCAACCAAGUAAGCGAACCCAUAAGCCAAGUUCUUCAGCGUGGCUUCAUGCAACUCCAAUUCUGACGUCGCAGUAGCAUCCGUCGAAAAGAACACCCGAAAACCUCUCACAAACGAUUCACGCGCCGUCGUUUCACAGCACAAAUUAGUCAUAACUCCAGCCACUAUAACCUCCGUCACUCCCAUCUCCAUCAACCUCUCCUGCAGCCGUGUGUUAGCAAAUGCGCUAUACGUGUUCUUCUCUAUCACCUCGUCUUUCCCGGCCAACUGUUCUAUCUCUGGCAUGAGCCGGGAAUCAACAGUGCCAUCUAUAAUGAGGUCAUUGUUCCACCACUCCGCAAGCAUGCCGCCAUCGUCAGGCGGAGAUUUAUGGCAGUGGCGCGUGAAGAUGACAGGGAUGGAGGCUCGCCGGCAGAGGUGGAUGGUGGAGAGAAGUUUAGGGAGGAUAGGUUUGGCCAUUGAGGAAAAAUAGUUUUGCACGUCAAUUACCAAAAGAACAGAGGUUUUGGGGUCUGGGUUUUUCUUUCUGAUCUCAUAUUUCUCGUGUGAUGAGAAUUUCAGCGAGGAGGUUGCCAUUGGAGCUCAGCAGAAAGGAAGAAAUAAGGUUUUGGAAAGGGAAUCAAUCAGUCAGCUAAAAAAGAAUUGAAGAUUCCCAAAGAAAAUCAAGAACAACAAAUUAAUUGUCAAUUAUUGUUAUAAAUCCUACAUUGAUUAAUUUCACUGUAAACCCACUAAGCCAUGAUAAGUAAACCUAAAUUAAAGUUAAAAAUAGAGACAAGAAAAGAAAUCUUACCUUGAUAAUAAGCCAAGAAACUCUCUUUAUGUGAAAUUGUGCUUCAUAUGUUGAAAUUUUAUCAGAGCCACCACCGGCCACUGAAGUUGCGUCAGCAGAGUGAUGAACGAAGAGGA